rnacentral:rRNA from 1 species
AUGAUAGUAGGGAUAUCCUUUGUUGGAAGCCCACUCCUUCUGGUGAACCAAUCAACCAAAGAUAUUUUGCAGCAGGUCUGGAAGCACAAAUUCAUGGCUCCAAGGGUUAAAACUUUUGCGUGGCGCUUACUUAGGCAUGCUCUCCCAACUGGUCUUAGAGCUGGCAGGUUUUCCUCUCAUAUUUCUUCUACAUGCUCUAGAUGUGAUUCAGAUAAAGAUGAAAUGCAUCUUUUCUUUCUUUGCAACUUUGCUAGAGCCUCUUGGUUCGGGCACCCCGGUAUAUUAGAUCUGAUAUUCUUGCUCUCAAUCAUAAUUCCGUUCUUGAUAUUAUUCAGGUUCUAA